rnacentral:rRNA from 1 species
UACGACGUAUCAGAGUUUGAUCCUGGCUCAGGACGAACGCUGGCGGCAUGCCUAAUACAUGCAAGUCGAGCGAACAGACGAAGUGCUUGCACUUCUGACGUUAGCGGCGAACGGGUGAGUAACACGUAAGGAAUCUACCUAUAAGCGGGGGAUAACAUUCGGAAACGGGUGCUAAUACCGCAUAAUAUCUUCUUCCGCAUGGAAGAAGAUUGAAAGACGGCUCUGCUGUCACUUAUAGAUGACCUUGCGGUGCAUUAGUUAGUUGGUGGGGUAAAGGCCUACCAAGACGAUGAUGCAUAGCCGACCUGAGAGGGUGAUCGGCCACAUUGGGACUGAGACACGGCCCAA